AAAAGAGUGAUCCUAUAGCGGUUAGCUUAUCUACACAACUACACCUUCAACAACUGUAUAUUACUGAUUGGCUGGAAUAAAUUAUAGAAUUGUAGAAUUACUGGUGUGUAUCUGGACACUGUGCAACUCAUUCACCAUGACAGCUCCCACUUUUGACUCUGCUGUUUCAGUUCUAGGUUUGCCUCCCCCUCUGGUACUCAUCUGAUGACAACCAACCUGGAAGAUUUCAUCAGCCUCCCUUGCUGCAGCCCAGCUUUCUCCUUGGGCAGUCUGCAUGUCGGUCUGACUGUUGUCCCCCAACCUCUAGGCUACUGGGCAGGCAUGGUGUUCAUAUGUCAACGUGGCAAAACCGCCUCCUCUGAAGACACGCACGCAUUUGCUGCAGAGUAUGAAGACAUGAAAGCAAACAUGAACAGCUAGAGCUCCAGUCCUGCCGCUGUAAAUCAGCACCUCCUUGCCAGCCCCCUCGCCUCUCCAGUUCCCUCACCACCACCACCCCAACACUGCCACAACCAGCUACUGUCUGUCUCUGGUGUCACCACUUUGUCCACGACAUAGUCCACGAUUGCAGAGACGUUGUCCACGGGUAGAGAGACAUUGUUGAGAACGAGGGAGACAUUGUCCAUGAUCAGAGAUAUGGUCCAUGUCAAGAGUGGUUCCCCAAAUCGACAGCAUCGUCAGUGAUCAGAGAGACUUUGUGCAUAAUCUCAGAGACAUUUUCCGCGAUAACAGAGAGGUCGUCCACGAUCAGAGGGAUGUCGUCAUCGUUAUCGUCUCGUCAUCGUCAUUGUCUUUGUACAAUACAAAAGUUCUUUGAGACCAGGACAGAGGCCUCCAGGUGUCAUCCAUGACAUUGUCCACGAUCGCAGAGACAUUGCUGAGGAUGAAGGAGACAUCAUCCACGAUGAGAGACACAGUCCAUGAUUGCAGAGACCUACUCAACAAUAGGUGGAGACUGGGGUCACCGAUUUGACAGCAUCACCCGUGAUCAGAGAAACAUUUUUGAUGAUCUCAGAGACGUCAUCCAUAAUCUCAGAGAUAUCGUCCAUAAUCUCAGAGAUAUAAAUAAACUUCAAGUGGUCAAACAUCUGUCAUUAUCUUUGCUGUGGUUUGUUAAAUGUUAUCUAUAAGAGAAUCAAUA